GCGCUCCUACGGGGCGCAGCAGUGAGGAAUAUUGGUCAAUGGGCGCGAGCCUGAACCAGCCACGUAGCGUGAAGGAUGACUGCCCUACGGGUUGUAAACUUCUUUUAUAAAGGAAUAAAGUGAGGCACGUGUGCCUUUUUGUAUGUAUUUUAUGAAUAAGGAUCGGCUAACUCCGUGCCAGCAGCCGCGGUAAUACGGAGGAUCCGAGCGUUAUCCGGAUUUAUUGGGUUUAAAGGGUGCGCAGGCGGAAGAUCAAGUCA
rnacentral:rRNA from 1 species